rnacentral:rRNA from 1 species
GACGAACGCUGGCGGCGUGCCUAAUACAUGCAAGUCGAGCGGAACUGGGGGGAGCUUGCUCCUUCCAGUUUAGCGGCGGACGGGUGAGUAACACGUGGGCAACCUGCCCUGCAGAUCGGGAUAACUCCGGGAAACCGGUGCUAAUACUGAAUAGUUUGGCGCCUCUCCUGAGGCGCUACGGAAAGACGGUUUCGGCUGUCACUGCAGGAUGGGCCCGCGGCGCAUUAGCUAGUUGGUGGGGUAACGGCCCACCAAGGCGACGAUGCGUAGCCGACCUAGGAGGCUGACCGGCCACACUGGGACUGAGACACGGCCCAGACUCCUACGGGAGGCAGCAGUAGGGAAUCUUCCGCAAUGGACGCAAGUCUGACGGAGCAACGCCGCGUGAGUGACGAAGGUUUUCGGAUCGUAAAACUCUGUUGUGAGGGAAGAACACGUACCAACUAACUAUUGGUACCUUGACGGUACCUCACCAGAAAGCCACGGCUAACUACGUGCCAGCCGCCACGGUAA